CCCUCCUACGGGACGCAGCAGUGAGGAAUAUUGGUCAAUGGGCGGGAGCCUGAACCAGCCAAGUCGCGUGAGGGAAGACGGUCCUACGGAUUGUAAACCUCUUUUGCCGGGGAGCGACGGGGUCCUUGCGAGGUCCCAAUGAGAGUACCCGGAGAAAAAGCAUCGGCUAACUCCGUGCCAGCAGCCGCGGUAAUACGGAGGAUGCGAGCGUUUCCGGAUUUACUGGGUGUAAAGGGAGCAUAGACGGCAUUGCAAGUCUGAUGUGAAAGAUUGGGGCUCAACCCCAGGCCUGCAUUGGAAACUGU
rnacentral:rRNA from 1 species